rnacentral:rRNA from 1 species
AGCGAACGCUGGCGGCAGGCCUAACACAUGCAAGUCGAGCGCCCGUAGCAAUACGGGAGCGGCAGACGGGUGAGUAACACGUGGGAACGUACCCUUCGGUUCGGAAUAACCCAGGGAAACUUGGAUUAAUACCGGAUACGUCCGUAAGGAGAAAGAUUUAUCGCCGAAGGAUCGGCCCGCGUCCGAUUAGCUUGUUGGUGGGGUAAUGGCCCACCAAGGCUACGAUCGGUAGCUGGUCUGAGAGGAUGAUCAGCCACACUGGGACUGAGACACGGCCCAGACUCCUACGGGAGGCAGCAGUGGGGAAUAUUGGACAAUGGGCGCAAGCCUGAUCCAGCCAUGCCGCGUGGGUGAUGAAGGCCCUAGGGUUGUAAAGCCCUUUCGGCGGGGAAGAUAAUGACGGUACCCGCAGAAGAAGCCCCGGCUGACUCUGUGCCAGCCGCCGCCGUAACAC